UCUCUCACUCAACCUCCUCUCCCCAAACCAAAUCCGUCGACUUCUUCUUUCAAGCUCUCUGUCACUGUCGUUCUCUCUCUCUCUCGGUGACUCUCGCAGCGUGGCUCUCUCUCUGUCACUGUCGUUUUCUCCCGGUCAAUCUCGCUAUCUCUUUCUCAGCCAUUCUCUCUGUCACUCUUGCUCUCUCUCACGGUCACUCUCGCUCUCUCUCAGCCAUUCUCUCUCAGUUUUCCUCACUCGAUUUUUCUGUCAAUUUGAGCCGCAAAUUCUCAUGAACGAGUUAGGGCUUUAAGGUAUUCGUAUAAAUUCCUUCGUUUAUAUUUGUAUUACCCCAGGUCUGAAGGAAGACAGACUUCUUCUCUCACACUGGAUCUUGGUCUUUUGUUGAGUGUCCUGGUCUGUUACUUGUAGCAGCUUUUGUUAUUGCUCAGCUGGAUUAGAGUACUUUUUAUUUGUCGAUCCUCAUCAAGAAGUUUCUAUCUACACCAGGCGGCAGAGGUGCAAAUCUGAUUUGAAUAUGAAACAACUCAUGGAAUUGUAUGUGUAUAUGUAAUGGAAGUUUAUUUGUUUUUAUUU